rnacentral:tRNA from 1 species
GCAUCUAUAGCUCAAUUGGAUAGAGUAUCUGGCUUCGAACCAGGUGGUUAGGGGUUCGAUCCCUCUUAGGUGCG